rnacentral:rRNA from 1 species
GAUGAACGCUGGCGGCGCGCCUAAUACAUGCAAGUCGAGCGAACAGAUGAGGAGCUUGCUCCUCUGACGUUAGCGGCGGACGGGUGAGUAACACGUGGAUAACCUACCUAUAAGACUGGGAUAACUUCGGGAAACCGGAGCUAAUACCGGAUAAUAUAUUGAACCGCAUGGUUCAAUAGUGAAAGACGGUUUUGCUGUCACUUAUAGAUGGAUCCGCGCCGCAUUAGCUAGUUGGUAAGGUAACGGCUUACCAAGGCAACGAUGCGUAGCCGACCUGAGAGGGUGAUCGGCCACACUGGAACUGAGACACGGUCCAGACUCCUACGGGAGGCAGCAGUAGGGAAUCUUCCGCAAAGGGCGAAAGCCUGACGGAGCAACGCCGCGUGAGUGAUGAAGGUCUUCGGAUCGUAAAACUCUGUUAUUAGGGAAGAACAAAUGUGUAAGUAACUAUGCACGUCUUGACGGUACCUAAUCAGAAAGCCACGGCUAACUACGUG